rnacentral:rRNA from 1 species
AUUGAACGCUGGCGGCAUGCCUUACACAUGCAAGUCGAACGGCAGCACGGGAGCAAUCCUGGUGGCGAGUGGCGAACGGGUGAGUAAUAUAUCGGAACGUGCCCAGUCGUGGGGGAUAACGUAGCGAAAGCUACGCUAAUACCGCAUACGAUCUAUGGAUGAAAGCGGGGGAUCGCAAGACCUCGCGCGAUUGGAGCGGCCGAUAUCAGAUUAGGUAGUUGGUGAGGUGGAGGCUCACCAAGCCGACGAUCUGUAGCUGGUCUGAGAGGACGACCAGCCACACUGGGACUGAGACACGGCCCAGACUCCUACGGGAGGCAGCAGUGGGGAAUUUUGGACAAUGGGCGCAAGCCUGAUCCAGCAAUGCCGCGUGCAGGAUGAAGGCCUUCGGGUUGUAAACUGCUUUUGUACGGAACGAAACGGCGAGCUCUAAUACAGCUUGCUAAUGACGGUACCGUAAGAAUAAGCACCGGCUAACUACGUGCCAGCCGCCGCCGUAA